GNAUUUAUUGGGCGUAAAGGGAGCGCAGGCGGUCAGGAAAGUNUGGAGUAAAAGGCUAUGGCUCAACCAUAGUGUGCUCUGGAAACUNUCUGACUUGAGUGCAGAAGGGGAGAGUGGAAUUCCAUGUGUAGCGGUGAAAUGCGUAGAUAUAUGGAGGAACACCAGUGGCGAAAGCGGCUCUCUGGUCUGUCACUGACGCUGAGGCUCGAAAGCGUGGGUAGCGAACAGGAUUAGAUACCCUGGUAGUCCACGCCGUAAACGAUGAGUGCUAGGUGUUAGGCCCUUUCCGGGGCUUAGUGCCGGAGCUAACGCAAUAAGCACUCCGCCUGGGGAGUACGACCGCAAGGUUGAAACUCAAAGGAAUUGACGGGGGCCCGCACAAGCGGUGGAGCAUGUGGUUUAAUUCGAAGCAACGCGAAGAACCUUACCAGGUCUUGACAUCCCGAUGCUAUUCUUAGAGAUAGGAAGUUACUUCGGUACAUCGGAGACAGGUGGUGCAUGGUUGUCGUCAGCUCGUGUCGUGAGAUGUUGGGUUAAGUCCCGCAACGAGCGCAACCCUUAUUGUUAGUUGCCAUCAUUAAGUUGGGCACUCUAGCGAGACUGCCGGUAAUAAACCGGAGGAAGGUGGGGAUGACGUCAAAUCAUCAUGCCCCUUAUGACCUGGGCUACACACGUGCUACAAUGGUCGGUACAACGAGUUGCGAGCCGGUGACGGCAAGCUAAUCUCUGAAAGCCGAUCUCAGUUCGGAUUGGAGGCUGCAACUCGCCUCCAUGAAGUCGGAAUCGCUAGUAAUCGCGGAUCAGCACGCCGCGGUGAAUACGUUCCCGGGCCUUGUACACACCGCCCGUCACACCACGAGAGUUUGUAACACCCGAAGUCGGUGAGGUANC
rnacentral:rRNA from 1 species